AGGCUCUGCGGAGAGCGGCUGCCACUCGCCUCUGUUUUUUUCUUGAGACCUAGUCUGGCUCUGUGGCUCAGGCUGGAGUGCAGUGGCGUGAUCACCGCUCACUGCAGCCUCAGCCUCCUCUCGCCUCAGCCGCUCGGUAGCUGGGACCACCAGCGGGCGCCACCACUCCCGGCUACAUUUUUUUGUAUUUUUAGUAGAGACGUGGGUCUCGCCAUGUUGGCUAGGCUGCUGCCGAACUCCGGGGCUCAAGCGAUCCGCCCGCCUGGGCCUCCCAAAGUGCUGAGACUGCAGGCAUGAGCCACCGCGCCCGGCCGAGAGCCUCUUUUGGCUCCUCCUUUCGCCUUUCCGGGGCCAGGCGUGUGCAGCUCUGUGAAGGGUCCCCUCCCUCUGCGGGACGUCCUCGCUGCCGAGGUCAGAGGUGCGGAGAACAUGAGACCCGAGGUGCGUUCCAGCAUGUUCCUGCAGCCCUCCACUCCCGCGGUUGCGUAACUCAGAUCCCUGAAACACAUCGCACAUACACGUGACUGGUGGUUUCUCUCUUUAACCCUGAUAGAUACAGGAGUCCACUAACAGAGAUAAGGAAUUGUACCAUGUACUCCAUGCUUCAAUAACUGGGUGCUUAGAGACAAGCCUGAGUUCUUACUGCCAUCCUAACACCCGCAGCAGAGGUUAACCUACUAUCGGACAAGUGGUCAACUUUUCUGCCUUCGGGAAGACUUGGGGCUGGGCUGAGAGAGAUAAUCUAGAACUUUUAUAGUGAUCCCGUGUACAUUUCCCUAGAAUGAUGGAUUAGGGUCUCAACUGCUUCUUACCAAUAUUAAUUCCAGUGACUACUAUCAGAAUAUGAUGAGCAAUCCACUCAUCAGAGAAGCUGUUUCUACACUCUCCUGAAUGACCAUUUUAUAGAUGCUGGGAAAAAAUUGUAUUAAAGACUAUGAGUUAGCUGGGCUUGGUGGCUCACGCCUGUAAUCCCAGCACUUUGUGAAGCCAAGGCGGGAGCAUCGAUUGAGCCUAGCAGUUCAAGACCAACCUUGGCGGCAUAAGCGAGACCCUGUCUCUACAAAAAUUUUAAAAUUAGCCAGGUGUGGUGGUGUGCACCUAUAAUCUUAGCUACUUGGGAAGCUGAGGUGGGAGGAUUACUCAGCCUAGGAGGUUGAGGUUACAGUGAGCUGGGAUCACACCACUGCCCUUCAGCCUGGGUGACAGAGCAGGACCCCGUCUCUUAAAAAAAAAAAAAAAAGUGGUGGACUUUGUUAUCCUUAUGCAUAUGACUCAUCAAUAUAUCUGUAUUUCCAUAUAGAAAGAACACUUAGACCGGGCACAGUGACUCACGCCUGUAAUCCCAGCACUUUGGGAGGCCAAGGCUGGCGGAUCACUUGAGGCCAGGAGUUCCAGACCAGCCUGGCUAACAUGGCAAAACCCUGUCUCUACUAAAAAAUACAAAAAUUAGCCUGGUAUGGUGGCACACGCCUGUAAUCCCUGCUACUCCGGAGGCUGAGGAAUGAGAAUAGUUUGAACCUGGGAGGUGGAGGUGGCAGUGAAUCAAGAUUGCUUCACUGCACUCCAGCCUGGGCGACAGAGUGAGACUCCAUUUCAAGAAAUAGAUAACUAAAUAAAUAAAAUAAAAGAGAACACUUAGAAAGGAACAUGCUAUAGCAAACUAAAAUUAUAGAUGUCAAAAAUUUAAUCUGGAUUACCCAGCAUCUCCUAUAAGAAACAAAGGGGCCCUCUCCCUCUCCCUCUCCCUCUCCCUCUCCCUCUCCCUCCCCCUCCCUCUCCCUCUCCCUCUCCCUCUCCCUCUGAUGCCGAGCCAAGGCUGGACGGUACUGCUGCCAUCUCGGCUCACUGCAACCUCCCUGCCUGAUUCUCCUGCCUCAGCCUGCCGAGUGCCUGCGAUUGCAGGCGCGCACCGCCACGCCUGACUGGUUUUCGUUUUUUUUUGGUGGAGACGGGGUUUCGCUGUGUUGGCCGGGCUGGUCUCCAGCUCCUAGCCGCGAGUGAUCCGCCAGCCUCGGCCUCCCGAGGUGCCGGGAUUGCAGAUGGAGUCUCGUUCACUCAGUGCUCAAUGGUGCCCAGGCUGGAGUGCAGUGGCGUGAUCUCGGCUCGCUGCAACCACCUCCCAGCCGCCUGCCUUGGCCUCCCGGAGAGCCGAGAUUGCAGCCUCUGCCCGGCCGCCACCCCGUCUGGGAAGUGAGGAGCGUCUCUGCUUGGCCACCCAUCGUCUGGGAUGUGAGGAGCCCCUCUGCCUGGCUGCCCAGUCUGGCAUCCAGGCAGACUGGAUUAGGCAGUGGUUAAGAGUCAUCACCACUCCCUAAUCUUAAGUACCCAGGGACACAAACACUGCGGAAGGCCAAGGCCGCAGGGUCCUCUGCCUAGGAAAACCAGAGACCUUUGUUCACUUGUUUAUCUGCUGACCUUCCCUCCA
rnacentral:lncRNA from 10 species